rnacentral:rRNA from 1 species
AUUGAACGCUGGCGGCAGGCCUAACACAUGCAAGUCGAGCGGGAACUUCGGUUCUAGCGGCGGACGGGUGAGUAAUGCGUAGGAAGCUACCCGACAGAGGGGGAUACCAGUUGGAAACGACUGUUAAUACCGCAUAAUGUCUACGGACCAAAGUGUGGGACCUUCGGGCCACAUGCUGUCGGAUGCGCCUACGUGGGAUUAGCUAGUUGGUGAGGUAAUGGCUCACCAAGGCGACGAUCCCUAGCUGGUUUGAGAGGAUGAUCAGCCACACUGGAACUGGGAAACGGGCCAGACUCCUACGGGAGUCAGCAGUGGGAAAUAUUGGACAAUGGGCGAAAGCCUGAUCCAGCCAUGCCGCGUGUGGGAAGAAGGCCUUCGGGUUGUAAAGCACUUUCAGUAGGGAGGAAGGAUGUUGUGUUAAUAGCACAGCAUUUUGACGUUACCUACAGAAGAAGCACCGGCUAACUCUGUGCCAGCCGCCGCCGUAAAAC